rnacentral:rRNA from 1 species
AGUGAACGCUGGCGGCAGGCCUAACACAUGCAAGUCGAACGGCAGCACAAGAGAGCUUGCUCUCUGGGUGGCGAGUGGCGGACGGGUGAGGAAUGCAUCGGAAUCUGCCCAUUUGUGGGGGAUAACCUCGGGAAACCGGGACUAAUACCGCAUACGACCUACGGGUGAAAGCAGGGGAUCUUCGGACCUUGCGCAGAUGGAUGAGCCGAUGCCGGAUUAGCUAGUUGGAGGGGUAAAGGCCCACCAAGGCGACGAUCCGUAGCUGGUCUGAGAGGAUGAUCAGCCCCACUAGAACUGAGACACGGCCCAGACUCCUACGGGAGGCAGCAGUGGGGAAGAUUGGACAAUGGGCGCAAGCCUGAUCCAGCCAUGCCGCGUGUGUGAAGAAGGCCUUCGGGUUGUAAAGCACUUUUGUUGGGAAAGAAAAGCAGCCGGUUAAUACCCGGUUGUCAUGACGGUACCCAAAGAAUAAGCACCGGCUAACUUCGUG